ensembl:lncRNA
CCCCACCCUGAGCAUGUUUUGACCACGGAACUAGGCAGGCUUCAAGGAGCCAGGCUUUCCUGCCUGCCAACUGAAAUUUUGCCAGUGCUGAUUUUACACAUUCCUAUUAGUUUUUAACAAGUAUUUACUUUAGUUAUUAAAUAGCAACUGCAAGGCCAUAAACUUACAGAUCAUGUGACUGGAAGUUGAUGCUAUAAUUUUCUAAGGGUCUUUAUGUAGAACCAGCUUCCUAACCUUUCAUUAACCCCUGUCCUUGGUCAACUACUGCACAAUAAUUAAUUGAGCAUUUCCUGUGUGCAAAACCCCAUAGUAGAUCCUAUAGAAGGCAUAAAAAAGUCCAAUCCUCUUCCCUUGAGCCAGGAAAGGAGGAAGCGAGUACUGUGCUGACUCCAUCAAGCCUUUUGCUGGGAACCUCUCACUGCUCAGGCCUCAUUGUUCUCUACCCCAUUAUCAUCUGCCUUCCAACCAGCAGGGACUUCUCAGUUCCAGGAAAAAAGAAGUUAACUGAAAAGAGAUCUUCGUCCCAAUCGCUGUGAGAAGCAACUCUGACUUAGCUCCAAAGGAGUUGCCGUUGCUGCCUUUGAACCUGGCCCAGAGGUGACCCCUCUCCAGCAGGCUACAUCCUCUCUCAUGGGAUGGUAAGGCCUCAGAAACUGUGGCUGAAGGAGCGAAC